CGCGCGCGUGCUUGUAUGCGGGUCUCUAUGUGCUUGCGCGUGCGUGCGUUCGUGCGUGUUUUGUGAGCGCUUUGUAUGUGCGCGCGUGCCUGUUGUGUGAUUGCUUUGCAUGUUGGAGAGCGCGCGCGCGCGCGUUGCUGCUUUGCGGGCGUUUUGCUUGUGCGCGCGUGCUUGUAUGUGGGUCUCUAUGUGCUUGCGCGUGCGUGCGUUCGUGCGUGUUUUGUGAGUACUUUGCGUGUGCGCGUGCUUGUAUGCGGGUCUCUAUGUUCUUGCGCGUGCGUUCGUGCGUGCGUGUUUUGUGAGUGCUAUGUAUGUGCGCGCGCGCGCGCGCGUACGUGUUUUGUGAAUUUUUUGCGGGGGCGCGCGUGCUUGUGUGUGUGUGUGUAUUGAAUAAAGUCGGUAGUUUUACACGCAAUAAACCUCUUCAAAAUUGGUGCAGCGGCUGUCCCCGCCCUGAAAACCGAGUUUGGUGUAGAGCCACUCUGGAAUAUAUGGAGGCGCCGGAGGACCAGUGGAAGGUGUCAUCCAGAUGACAGCCUCACAAUUUGCAGCCUUUGUGCUCUCCAUCAGAAACCCAUCAGGGGCAAGCCACUUAUGUUUGCCUUCAGACAAGACAACAUUGAAGCAAGAUUCCAGCACAGCCAUCUCCUGCACUUAUGGUCAAGAUGCUCAGACAAUGGAGUCCCUGUUCCUUGUGGUUAACCGUGAACAGUAUUCUCGCUUUUAUGAAAGCUAAAGGUGAUUUCCUGCAUAAAUUAGAAUUUUGCAGCUCAAAUGUAUACACUUUAUUCUAAUUUGAAUCAACUAAUAUAUGCUGUUUAAUACUUUUAUACUGUUUGGUAGAAUCAUUUCUUGUUGGAAAAUAUUAAGCAUGAUGUUUAACAUUUAUUUAUGCAUUACUGGCUGAUGCAUGAUGGCCUGUGUUUAAAAAAUGUGAACUCACUCAUUUGAAGCUUCAUUCAGUAACCAGAGUAUGGCUGAUUUAAUAAACAUUAUUUGCUCAUUUAUGUACAAGUCCUAAUCUUCCAUUAUCACACCAAGUACAAAUAAUUUAGAAAUUGGCAAUGUAUUAUCCGCAUGUGGCCAGUAGAGUACCUUAAUGAACAGUGGUUUGUUUUUAUAAGGCCGCCAUUGAUACGGCACUUCGCACCUAAACAGUAAUAAAUCUGGCAUAUUUAGGCUGUCUUGCAGUAGAAAAAAAACAUUUUCAAGCAACAUAUUUUCUAACAGACCAUGCCUUGCCUUCGCAUUACAAAAUUUAAGGAAACGAGAAUUGUAAUCGGAAAAUCUGCUACACAGCAUUUUAACUCAGAGAACUCUAUUUACAUUUUAAAAAAAUGAUUUAGGUGGGAAAAAAUUUUCUUGCUCAAGGAAUCUUGUUGAGGAGCGAAAAUUCAUCUUGAUGCUCCUGGAUCAAACCUUAUUUAAAGCAAGUUCA